AUGGCCAGUGCCAAGGCCCUGAGCAGAAGUUUGCCUGACAGUUUGAGGAAUUGCACCUCCUGUAGAGCUGAGGCUCCUGAGCUGGGGAGGACUACAAUCUGGUAGGGGGAAACUGACAUCAGUCAAAGAACCACCAAAUUAAAUGUGAAAUUACACCUUUGAGAAGGGACAGGAAUGAUGACAACAUGGGUAUGUCCUUGUGCAGACCUGGUCAGCAAUAUCAGGAAGGGCUUGCUAGAAGAAGGAACAGUUCGAGGAAGGUGAGGCAUAAGAAGCAAGCUGACCAAAGAAGCCCAUGUGCUAAGAAGUCAUCAUUUUGCCAGGCACUACUCUGUCCUGCCACGGGAUGUCCUCCUCACGUGAGGAAUACAGAGAUGAACACCGUAACUUGUAGUUGGCAUUUUGCCAGAUUGGGGUAACUAAUGGGCAGAAGGGCAGGGGAGUUUGGGGUUGGAAGUUGACUCUGGUUUGUCUUGAUCUACUCUCUGCACAGGCAGGAAAAUGGCAUUUGUGUGGUUACUCUGGGGUAACCAGGCGGGCAAGGGAGCUAUACUUGGAGGAGCAUUAAGCUGGUGGAGUGCUACUUGGCCUGCAUGUGAUGAGUUUGUGGCAUGCCAGGCAUUGCCAGCCCCUUGCCAAGCCCUGCCCAUGCCUUUCUUGUUCCCUGGCAUUUCUCCCAGUAGUCAGACGAUAUGUGCAUGUAGGAGAGUUUUGGUGAGUCUGUUGAAUGACUGAAGAGUGAAGUAUUUGGAGAGGGCACAAGAUUUGAACCCAGGAUGAGGUUGAGGAUGAGAAUGUGGUUCUAUGUCCGAAUCCUGUCUCUUUCACUUAACAAGCCGUGUGAAAGUGCACGAGUUGCUUGUAGUUUCCAGACCUCAGUUCCCUGAUCUGUAAAUUGGAGGUAACAACAAGCUUUAUCUCAGAGGGCUGUUGUAGGGCUCAAUUUGGCUAAUGUGUACAGAGCUUUGCGCAUCUGCUGUCAGGACAACUAUUCUGUGGUUGCUGUGCUCUGCCCCCCACAAGUGUAUUCUCACAAUGUCAUAGGGUCACAGCUGGACACAAAUCAUCAGCCUGGAUGGAGCCAGGGUGAAUCUACACAAGGAACCCAGGAGGACAACACUCCUCAAAGAAGUGUGACAGAGCAGAGUCUGCAGGGCUGGAGGUGGAAGGCAGAUGUGAAGGAAAUUUUUAAACUCACAAUGAGGAUAGGAAGCGGGAAGCUCAGGCUUGUUCACCAAAACCUGGCAUUCUGGAGUUACAGGGCCCCCUUGGAGCACAAAUGAGUGUCCCCACGGUAAAACAGGACCUGCUUUCAGGAGGACUAGGUGAGAUUCUCCGUGUGCUACACUGAAACGUUUCCCUGCAGUGCCAGGCUGUGAAUGCUUAGUGACAGCAGCUCCACCCUGCAUAGGCGGAGAGACCAGGAGCCUCUCCAGUCUCCUUGGCGCUCUGCGGCACA